rnacentral:rRNA from 1 species
CCUGGGAGCGGGGGAUAACCUGGGGAAACUCGGGCUAAUACCGCAUACGUUUGCGAGAUCACGGUCUCGUCAAGAAAGCUGGCCUCUGCUUGCAAGCUAGCACUCCCAGAGGAGCCCGCGGCUGAUUAGCUAGUUGGUGAGGUAAUGGCUCACCAAGGCGACGAUCAGUAGCCGGCCUGAGAGGGCGAUCGGUCACACCGGAACUGAGACGCGGUCCGG